rnacentral:tRNA from 1 species
UAGAAUGAAGCUCGCUGGAUAGAGUGUUUAGCUGUUAACUAAGUUUUUACGGGAUCAAGGCCCGUCAUUCUAG